GCCAUUUAAGUAUGAAAUGUGAGUAGACUUUGUAAUAAUACCACUCCCACAAAUUUCAUUGAGAACCUCCAACAAUAAAAUUAAACAUCACAAUCACGAUGCAUACAUGUUACAAGUUAUCUCUGCUUGCAGAAAUAAAAUAAUCAGCUAAUGAUGAUGCAUAUCAGAGUUAAAUAAUUUGACAUACGAAAGGAGGACUCCCCAAGAGUUUACAUGUUGAUAAAAGAGGCUGAUUAAAAUUCGAUGUGCAUAGUCCAACACCACGUUGUCAGCAUUUAGCAGACGUAUGCUGUCCCGAGUAACGAAAAUCGAUAUCCAUGAACUUUUAGAACUUUCCCAAGUCAAGCAACUCAAUGAGUCGAGCUCAUUGAGUAGUACCUCAUAGUUGUCCUGAUAUAAAGGACACACUGCAAGUCUGCAAAAAGAGCAAACACAAAUUCAUUCAGUUUCUGCCACGACAAUCAUCGUGAAAAAUGAACUGAACUUUGUGAAAUAAACAUUCUACUAUACUAGUGCCAUACAGCUAAUACGAUGAUGCUAAAAGACACAAGACAUGGGCACAUCAGAACUGGUAUCUGCUCCAAGAAUCCAGAAUUUCAUGAGGCUGUUUUAAGAUUUUGAGGUGCAUCCUUCCUCCAGUGCAUGAGGUUAUUCUAUUUACACCAAGUGUGAAAAUGUAACACAGAGGCCACAAGAUGAUAAACAUCUAUAGAUGUAAAAGGAUCUAUCAAACAGAACGAGCAAAGCAGCCAGCCCCUCCCGUUGAGAACAGCCGUCGCUUCCCCACCCCGUGACGCUAGGGUUCCUAGUCGUAGCCGCCGCUGCCGUCGCCGUCGCAGCAAGCGACCUCCGGCAACCCUCCAACCCAAGCCGCCGACUGGAUCACCGGUCCCAAGCCAGCCCAACCCAGCCCAGGUACUCCUUCCUCCCUCCCUCUUCCAUACCCUUCUUCUUCCCUAUUCCAGCCGUGGCCAUGGUCAAGGAUGCCCUCGAACUCGUCCUCGUCCCAGAAAUCGAGCGAUGGGGUGGGAUUCGGGGGCCUGGUUGCGGGGUUGGGGUUAAGGAUAGGGUUUGCGGCAGUGGUGGUGUUCACGGGAGGGGAAGGAGCAGAGAUGGAGACGGAGAUGGGCGGAGGGGGUGGGAGGUCGAGGUCGAGCCCCUCGUCGUCUUCAUCGUCGGAGGACACACUGCAGCUCAACCAAACACAGCCGAGACUGUCACAGUAAAGGGACAGAAAAAUAAUUUUGGCACCGCCAUUUAAGUAUGAAGUGUUAGUAGACUUUGUAAUAAUACCACUCCCACAAAUUUCAUUGAGAACCUCCAACAAUAAAAUUAAACAUCACAAUCACGAUGCAUACAUGUUACAAGUUAUCUCUCCUUGCAGAAAUAAAAUAAUCAGCUAAUGAUGAUGCAUAUCUGAGUUAAAUAAUUUGACAUAUGAAAGGAGGACUCCCCAAGAGUUUGCGUGUUCAUAAGAAAAGGCUGAUUAAAAUUCGAUGUACAUAGUCCAACACCGCGUUGUCAGCAUUUAGCAGACGUAUCCUGUCCCGAGUAACGAAAAUCGAUAUCCAGGAACUUUUAGAACUUUCCCAAGUCAAGCAACUCAAUGAGUCGAGCUCAUUGAGCAGU
rnacentral:lncRNA from 1 species